rnacentral:tRNA from 1 species
GCCUGGGUGGCUCAGUCGGUUGAGCGUCUGACUUUGGCUCAGGUCAUGAUCUCACGGUCUGUGAGUUCGAGCCCCGCGUCGGGCU